AUGGGCGCCAAUGGGGCGAAGCAGGCGUCUCCUCGCCCGUCCCGUCCCAACGGGCGGCACCGUGCUGCCGGCGAGGCCGGGAGGAUUUUCCCCUCUCGGAGCAUCGGAGGGGAGAUCGGGCUCCUCCGGCACGACCCCAGCUCUCCAUCCAAGUUCCCGGCGGUGUUUCGGUGCCGCAGGAGGUGUCGGGACGGGUGGCGCAGGGCUCACCGCACGGCCCCAUCCGCACGGCACGGGUGGGACGGGGGCGUUGGGGACCCCCCCCCUUCCUCCAGCAGCAUCUCAGCCCCGGCUUUGCGUGCCCCCGGCGGGGCUCAGCCGCCCGUGACGCCGUGGCCUCGCGCCUCUGCCCGCACCCCGACAGCCGGGACGCCCGGCGGGCGCCUUUGUGCGCGGCGGGGCCUUCUCCGCGGGCCGGCCGCGUUGCAUAUGGAUUUUAUUAUCUCCCUCGCAUUUUUGUGGGGGGUUGUAAGAGGGAGGGUUUUUUCUUUUUUUUUUUCUCUUCUUUUUUUUUUUUUUCAUUCCCAUUGCAAAGUUUUUGGUUACAGUGGCUGCUCCUCCGCGGCGUCGCAGUUUGGGUUCUUUCCUUUUGUUCUCCAAAACGCCCAACGUGCGAGGGCCCCGCUGGGAUGGGACGGGGUCGUUGCGCCCGCUGCCACCCAUCGCGCUUGGGCAUCGCCCUCGCCGGAGAUGGGGCGGGCAUCGCCCCGAGGUCGGGGCCCGUGCCCGUGGGUUCCUACGGCAGUGCCAAAAACCAGAACGGGCGCCGAGCCGCUCGCCAGCGGUCACCCCGCUGCCUCCUGCCCCGUGCCUCGGCACCGUCCCGCAGCACCGGGCUGGGCACCGCGGGGAAGCGCUCUCCCGGACCGGGCGGCGGUGGUGAGCUACGGCUGCCGGUUCUGCUGCCGGUGGAGGAAAUGGUUUCAAGGGGGGACGGAAAAAAAAAAAAAUAGGGCGAAGGAAGUAGGAAUCGAUGCAAGGAGGGAGCAGACAAUGGCUCGUGGGUUUCAGCAGGCAGCGCCCGGGUCUGCGCCGUGA
rnacentral:lncRNA from 1 species